rnacentral:lncRNA from 10 species
UGUGCAGGGAAACUCCCCUUUAUAAAACCAUCAGAUCUCGUGAGACUUAUUCACUAUCAUGAGAACAGCACAGGAAAGACCCACCCCCAUGAUUCAAUUACCUCCCACCAGGUCCCUCCCACAACAUGUGGGAAUUGUGGGAUCUAGAAUUCAAGAUGAGAUUUGGGUGGGGACACAGCCAAACCAUAUCAACCUCCAUGUAUUGAUUUACAAUUUUGCCUGUAAUUUCUGCUUUCCUGAAAUUUACCCCUGCCUUUAAAAGCCCUUGCUUGUAAGCCAUUGAGGACAUAGGGUCUUAAGUGUGAGCUGUCUGAUUCUCCUUGCUUGGUGUCCUGCAAAUAAACGCCCUCUGUUCUCCCACUGCAAAACCUCAGUGUGGACAUGUGGCCUUACUGCCCUGGGUGAGCAGAUCCCAAGUUUGGUUUGGUGACAUUUUCACAGCAGCCCCUUGAGGUAACAGGGCAGGGAUUACAGCUGCCAGAGAGGUUGAGUGGCUUGUCCACUGUGGCACAGCGAGGCAGGGGUAUGAACCAGUUCUUGCAGUCCAGAGUGGGUGCUCUCUCCACUUCAUGACACUGUCAUGAAUGGCCUUCCAUAGCAGACACUCUUGUGUCCCACCCAGAACCCGGAACUCCUCUCCCUAGCUUCCCACCGGCUCCCCUGCAGCUCAGUCUGAGAGCUCUCUCUGGACACAGAAGCAUGCAUGGCCCCCAGGCAGACAGGACAAAAGCACCAGGGUGCUACUCAGCCACAGGAGCCUCACUCAGUGACAGGCUGGAGAUGGGGACUCCCGCUUCCUCAGCCCUAGGGAGGGACGACUCUGGGCCAUGCUCUACCCAGUCCCCAUGAGUUCCACAAUGAGACUGAGCCCUAGCAGGCCACAGUGGCCACCUGCCUGUUUGCACACCCUGUCUCACUGGACCACUUUCAGGUCCUCCUGGGAUCACCUCCCAAAUAAAUUUGAACGCAAAUUCUUGUCUCAGUCUGCUUCUGAGGAGCCCCAAAUUAAGAUAUUCUGUCCAUACUAACAAACUGCUGCCAAGAAGGCAGAGAUAAGUAAAUUCUGUACAAUAAGUAAAUCAUGUCUCAACACCCAUCAACCCAGGAUGGCACAUUCGCAGUGCGUGGCCAUGGGGAUUUCCUCACCACCCCUCAGAGACAGACGUGUCUAAUUGACCAUGGUGCUUUCUGAAGCUGUGUUCACACACAGGGAAGAAAGAGCAUCGUGACCAGUCAGUCACCUCUGUCCCUGUAGAAGAGUUGGGGUGGUGGCAAGUGCACAGCUACUUCUCAUCCCUACUCCAGCCCCUGGCUUACUGAGCCCUGAGAGCCAUAAAACAAAUGUCACUCUCAUAAUGUCACCAGUUCCCAAAAUGGCUAAUUUUCCUUCUUUCCAUUGCCAACCCUGCUAAGAGUCACACGUACAGAAGGAUUGGCUGGAAAAUGCCACCAAAUCCCUGACUGGUCUAGCCCUCCGACACUGGAAAUAGAGACAUAGAAUCUGGAGAGCAGUUGGGUGGCACCGGGCCCACCUGGGUGAGUGGAAUGCUAAACAUAGGCAUGACUCACAUCUGGCUGGGAGGGCCCCACCACCGCUCCAGCGGGAGCAAGCCCUCCCCCGCCUGCAACACCAUCUCAGGCCUCCAUGGAGCAGAACCAUGUGGACCAUGUGGACAGCUCUGUCUACACUGGCCCUCACUGCACAUCACAUGGCUCAGGGAGGUCCUUCGGGCUCAGCUCCUCAGGUUACACUGAGGACAUCUGGAGCCAUCUGGCCCCAGCACCCGAGCCCACUUGGAGUCCCUGGAUAAACACAUCCCGUCACUUAGGAAAACAGAAUUACAUUUUCCAUCAUGAUGAAAUGAACCUCUAGGGGGUAUUUACAAAAAUGUAUACUCAGCUAGGGGACAAUGUGGUUUUUGCCAAUUAGCUAGAAGAGGAAGUCUGGGGAUCUUUGCAUAGCAUAACGAAAAGAAAAAACGUAAGAGAAAGAACAAGAGUGAGGAAAGGAAAGCCCAGUUAGGUCCACUUUCAAAAUAAACAAUUUUUACAGUUACAGACAGACCCUGAUUUAUACGCAGGCUGAGUUCCAGGACUGUGUUUUCAAGUCAGUCGUUUGGAGUUUGAAACUCAUUUUCCCAUAGAAACUAUGUGCAUUGGUCAUAAAGUUAACCCAUAGAUGUCUCUUUCUUCAAUAAAGUAUCUGAAAUGUACUACCAUUUUCACCUUUCCAGUUCCCCUCAACAUCAUCUAUAGCUUUGCUUCCCUAAGAAGUUAAAUUCUGAUGUCCAGAUCAGGACAAGGGAGCCCCUUUCUCCUGUCAGUGAAUGGCAGUGAGGAGGGCCUGGUGAUGGUGUAAGGCACUCACAGGAACAUGAGGCAGUGGCCAUCAGCUUUGGAGACCCACAAUAUGAGUGUGACUCCCAAGGCCACCUCAUGCUCUGAUCAGAUGCUCACCAUGUCUUGGCCUCAGUCACCUCUCAACUCUGUCACCUCACCUCCAAAUAGUCUCCGCCUUAUGUUGCUGUUGUGGGGGGGAUAAAGUUGUACAAUGUAUAUAACACACAAGGAAUGGUAGUUGGUCCCAAACAAGUGCUCUACAAAUGGUGGUUAUUAUCUUUACUGUUGCCUUUCAUAUGCAGGAGGGAACUUAGCAUGAAAUCUGAGCAUCUUAGGGUUUGAGGGGAACCAUUAAAUGUUCUCAACAAAGGACAGAACCACAUCUACUUUGCACCCUAAUACGAUUCCCAUUCCUGGCCCAUGGCAGGCUCUGACAAGGAUUUAUUGGAUGGAUUGAUGGGUGGGUGGAUGGAUGGAUGGAUGAAUGGAUGGAUGGAUGGAUGGAUGGAUUGAUGGGUGGGUGGAUGGAUGGAUGGAUGAAUGGAUGGAUGGAUGGGUGGAUAUAUGGAUGGAUGGAUGGAUGGAUGGAUAUAUGAAUGGAUGGAUGGAUAGAUGGACGGAUGAGUGGGUGAAUGGGUGGAUGGGUUGGAUGGGUGGAUGGAUGGGUGGAUGAGUGAAUGGGUGAAUGAGUGGGUGGGUGAAUGGGUGGAUGGGUGGCUGGGUGGCUGGGUGGUUGGAUGGGUGGAUGAGUGAAUGGGUGAAUGAGUGGGUGGGUGAAUGGGUGGAUGGAUGGGUGGAUGGGUGAAUGGGUAAAUGGGUGAAUGGGUGAAUGAAUGGACAAAUGAAGGGAUAGACAGAUGGACAGAUGAAGAUCUAAUACUUUUUGCUCACCAUCGCCUCUGGCUUGAGUCUGGGGUUCUGCUGUCAGUGCCCCUCUUAGCACUACCACAGGCUUUGAUACCACUGACUCCCUCUCACUAAGUAAAAUUCUGACCCCAGGCUCUGAGGAAUCAUCUCUUUGUCUCAGCUCUUCUUUGGUCUCCCUCCCUGAUUGCUAGCUCCCCAGGUGCCAGUUCCAUGGAAGCAUUCUCCAUGACUAUCCCUCUGUCUUCUCCCUUUCCCUCCACCCUCUCCAUGGGUGUCAUUCUCUCAUGGAGUCAGCUCUCACUUCCCCUCUUAUAUCCAGCCUUGGCCUCUUGUCUGAGCAGCAAAGUUAAAUUCCCUCUACCUGAUGGUUACUUUCCUAUUGAGAGCCCAUCAGCACCUUAAAUCCAAAACUCGAAUGCCCUCUUUUUCUUGUUUCUUACCUCAAGCAGACCUACUCCUGUUCCUGGGUCCCCAGCCCUCAUUAAAAACCAUAAAUCCUCUCAUGGUCACAGGCUGGGACUCUCAAAGUCACUGUCACUUCUCUGCUCUCAGUCUCCUUUUCUACUCAAUCAGGAAAUGAGGAGAGCAACUGUUGUGUCUGCACAUUCUCCCAGUCUUUAUACCUUUGCCUGAGCUCAAGGCUAUCUCUUGAUCGAUAUAAUGCACUAGUCACCUGCUACCUCAAGGAAAUAGACACUAACAGCCCCAACAAACUGCCAAGUCAUAGUAGCCAAGAUGUCACCAGCUACUCUCUCACUGCAUUGGUUGUCUAUUGCUAUAAGCAAAACAUUCUAAGAUUUACUGGGACAAAACAACCACCAUUCUAUUAUGUCUCAUGAUUCUGUGGGUUAGGCAGGUUCUGCUCUGUGGUUCUUCUGCUCCACAGGAUGUUGGCUGGUAAGGCAGUCCCCUAAGACCUCAGCUGGGCUGGAAAAUCCAAGAUGGUUCACUCACACACUUGGUACCUUGACAGAGAUGGCAAGAACACUAAGAUAGCUGAGCAUCUUCUCUCUUCAUGUACUCUCAGGGCUUCUCCCUUCCAAAUUGGUAAGUUCAGCCACACUUCAUACGAGGCAGAUUAAGGCUCCCAAAAGUGAAAGUUACCAGGUCUUCUUAGGGCUUGGAUCCAUCUUGGAUCCAUAACUGGCACAGCACCCCUUUUGCCAUAUUCCAUUGCUUCAAGGGAGUCAGAGGACCAGCUCAGAUUCAACACAGGAGGGCAUGAUACAAGGCUGUGAAUAUCAAGAGAUGUGGUUCAUUGAGGCACUCUUUGAAGACCAGCUACCAUACUCAUUCAAGUUAGUUCUGGGCAGGCCAGUGGCCUCCUCCAUCUUACAGCUAGCAUCAUUUGGAUCCUGUGGUCUCCAAAGGCAUCAUAGCAGAGGCAAAGAGAGAGAGCUGGAGGAAGUACAAUGACUUUCAAAUGCCUCUGUCCAGAAGUGACAUAUCACUUCCACUCACAUUCCAUUGACCAGAAUGACCAUGUGAUCCCCACUUGACGACAAGGAAGGCUUGGAAGUUAGAGGAGUGGAUGACUAUUUGGUUGGCCUUAAGUGUCUCUGCUCCCUCAUCUAUUUCCUCUGUGGGACGAACGCAGCAUAUGCAGAGAUUCCCAUACUCUGUUGGUGGGAGUGUAAACUGGGACAGCCUCCCGUGGAGGACAGCAGGACCAACCCACCUUCUUGCUUGCUCUAGGAUGAGUUUGGAGAAUACAUCAUGUACAGGGCCCUUCCAGCUCUAAAAGUCAGUGGGCAUUACUGAGCCAGAAAACGAGGGCUUAGUAACAUCAGAACACCAGCCUCUCAUCUUGUUUCCAGAGUAUUCUGUGGUGUUGGCCGGAAUGGAGAGGAAUUCAUUCCUCUGAAGGGUGGAGGCUGCUUGAGUAACUGCUGGUUCCCACAGUUCAGCAUGGCUGGGGAGGUCUCAGGAAACUUACAAUCAUGGCAGAAGGGGAAGCAAACAUGUCCCUCUUCCCAUGGCAGCAGCAAGCAGAAGUGCUGAGCGAAGGCGGGGUGGGGGCGGGGUGGGGGAAGGCCCUUAUGAAACCAUCAGCUCUCGUGAGAACUAACUUACUAUCACGAGAACAGGAUAGGGGAAACUGCCCCCAUGAUUCAAUUAUCUCCACCUGGUUCCUCCCACAACAUGUGAGGAUUAUGGGAACUACAAUUCAAGAUGAGGUUUGGAUGCGGACACAGCCAAACCAUAUCACCCAUCCUUUGAAGAUCCGGUGAGAGCUCCGAUACAAAUCAGAAUCAAGAAAUUCGCAACAGGUGGGCCUGAACCCAACCACUGCUAGAGAGAGGACAAAGGGUGGGGCUCGACCCUUGAGCAGCAGGGAAGGGAGUAGAAAAAGCUCAGCAGGUUCCUGCCUUUCACAGGUCAGUGGUAUCAGGGGUAGGGCUCUCAUCAUAGGGAGCAGGGCACCUGACACACAGGGCAAGACAUUCCAGGAGAGGCCCUGGCCAGGGGGCUGGAGCAGCCCCAGGGACACCAGGCACAUGGAGAAGCUGCAGCAAACGGAUGCUGUCAGCACUGCAUUUCUCCUACACGUCCUACAGGUGACCCAGGCUAUUGAGUGGUAACACCCAGACUCUGUCUCAGGCAUCUUUUCUGACUGCAGGAGCUCACUCAGCCUCAGUCAAUGACAGACAGGGCAUAGGUGAAUAAAAUCCCAGUUUCUUCAACCCGGUUGGACCUCACCUCCCUGCUUCCUAGCAGGACAGAGAGAGCUCCAGCCCAGGAGUAACUGGCUUGAUGACGCUGAUACAACCUUGGUUCAGAUGGAAGAAGAAUGGGCCACAAGUCACAGGCACAGGUGGCCCUUGACUUCCACCUGGGUGACCUUUGCCUGCAUCUGCACUGGUGUCCAUACUGCCUUCACUGCAAGAGGCUGCACCCUUGCUACCAGCUGUUCCCCUGGCAAUGCAGGCUCUCAUGGGAAGUAACCCCACUCAGCUGACUGCAGCUGCAGCUUUGGCUAUCCGGAUAGUUGAGGAAGGGGCAAUGACUUGAAUGCUGUUUGAUUCUUGUCAUAAAAAUGGGGAAGAGAGGAGAAGAGAGGAGAAAGGAAGGAGGGAAAGAGGAGAGGAAGAAAGGUCACACUAGCAAUAAGUCUCCUUAGCAAUACAACUGAGACAAUGAUGGAAAUCCCUAGAAAGGCCAGAAGGAGAGAAUCUUCCACUUUGAUCAACAUUCAGAGGACCAAAGGAAAAGAGACAAAUUAAACAACACACUCAUAACACUAAAAAUGCUUCACUCAAGAUGGUACCUUAAAGAAGACAUGUAGCUAUGGGAUUUUAUCAUCUUCUCUAGGUUUCCUAGAAUGAACUCCUCUUAGCGGGUAAGCUACCGUUCAGUUUCUAAACAAUGUCAGAUCUUUGCUUCCAACUGUGUCUGAGAGUGAGUGCAAGGUGAGUGCCUACAGCUGAGCCUCCCCCAGGACAGAGCUCACGCACCAGGCUGCCCUAUCAGGGCUCUGCACUGAGCAUGGGUGCACCUGGUGGGCUAAUGCCACCUGACUUGGGAAGCCCAUGCAGGCGGAGGGCUCCCCAGACCAGCAAACUUCCAUCCGGAUUUUACACUCAGAUGUUUUGGCAGAACCAUUGCUGACUCCAGCAUCCAGACGUCUGAAAUCAUUUUUCCUGAGAAAUCAAGCAUAGACGUUACAAGCUUCCAAAGACCAUUGGCUUGAAACCAUAUACCCAAAUCCAUGGCAAGCCAUUUAGCAAAACGACGUAAACAUUAGAGCAUUAAAUUAUGCCACGUAGGUCUGUUCAGAAGAAAUCUGUGAUUAUGCGCAUCUCAGACACUAUGGGAAGUCAGAUGCGACCACCCGCCAGUCACUCAAGCUGAUCGAGAUAGAAACAGGGAGGGCUCCAGAGCAGAGCCGGGUAGAUGGACACGUUCAAAACAGGGACAGUCCCCCUGCUGCAAAGCUGGUGUGCAGGCCUGGCCCUGGAUGGCUCUUGUCUUGAGUGUGUGUGUUUGUGAUUCUGGGUCCCUCAGCUUGCAGGGUCGGCCCCAGUAACCUGCUCUGGCCAGUAGAGGGAAUCAGAGGGCCGAGGGACCAAGCCGGUAGCACAAGCAGUCCCCACCCUAGCUGGCUUGGGGAGACCUGCCUUUUAAGGCCUCCUGGGUGAACGUCCCCAGGCUCAGAAGGAAGCAGCUCCCAGGAGCCCAGUGAAGCAGCUGGAGCCACAGAGGCCUGCAGGGUCAUCGGCUCCUGAAACAUUGGCCCUUUGGGACGAUGCUUUUUCUCUCCCUUCCUGAAUGAGCCCCCUGAGAAAGCACUGAAUGCGGGGUCAGACCUGUCACCAUUGCCCUGAAGCCAGCUCCUGAGGAUGGUCUGUUAUACUCCAAGGCCAAAGGAGCCACCCGAGGGAUGAGAGGGAGACCCGGCACUGAGAGCUCCACACAGCAGAGCUAGGGCUGCAGGGAUGUCCCCAGGGUGAGGUGGACGUUUGGCCAGAGAGGAGAGAAGAGAAGCACAGGACUAUUUAUGGGUGCAUUACAGACAUGGGACUGUUUAUGGGUAUAUUACAGGCACAGCACUGUUCAGGAGUUCAUUACAGGCAUGGGACUGUCAGGGGUGAGUUCCAGGCACAGGACUGCUCAGGGGUGCGUUCCAGGAACAGGACUGUUUAUGGGUGCAUUCCAGGGACGGCACUAUUCAGGGGUUCAUUGUAAGCAUGGGACUGUUCAGGGGCCCAUUCCAGACACAGACACACCUGAACAGCAGACUGUUAGGACUGCUUAGAGGCGCAUUUUAGGCAGAGGUACAGGGGCCUGGGGCAGGUCUAUGGUGGUGGUUAGAAGAGGGUCUCGAAGGGAAGGGUAUUUGAGAGGAACUUGUCCUGGUGCAUGAAGCAGCCAGGGUGGCUCUGCCCAAGGGUCUGGCGCAUCAUCAAAUUGGGACUCAGCCAUUUCUUCCCCAGGGCCACUGCAGGGACCCCAGUUGCCUGGUGGCCUUCUAGGAGAAGCAGAGAGGCACAGAGGCCAACGUCUGCUCUCAGAGAGGCCUGAGCAGGAGCCACGGCUCCACCGUCAUUGUCCAAUGACCUUUGUAAAGCCACUUAACUCACAUUCAGCCUCCCUUGCAGUCUUUUUUUCUAUCAGAUGGGGAUGUUAAUAACAGUGCCUGUCCCCCAGGGUUGUCGUGGGGUGCAGGGCUGCACACCGUGGAAGGGCUCAAUAUCAGGGAGCCGUAUUAGCAUCAUGUGGUUUUGGCUCAGUGUGCAGAAGGGGCAGGAGAUUGUUGUCUGGGCCUGGGACAGAGGCUGGGCUUCACCUGGGGCCAGGGCAGGGCCCCCAACUCGCAGGGCCUUGGGUGCUGCACCCCAUCCCCUGAGGAGCCCCAGGUCCCCUCCCCCACACCUGAAGAUGGGCCUUUCUCUUAGAACUAGCAGGGAGGUCCAGGCCAUCGCUUACACAACAGCAUUUGCUGAGGCAACCACAUGCAGACGUGGUCCUGGGCGCGGGGCCUACCACUGGGAACACCACCGGGCUGGGCACCCUCGGUGUGGAAGGCA